rnacentral:misc_RNA from 1 species
GAUUUUUUUGUUCGCACUGGUCGACUCCCAGGACGCAACAUCUUUGCUAUCUGAGACGCUGCAGUCCUUGUCUUGGUCUUGUUUCUCUUAGGACGGAUUAGCUUUGGAUUAUAAUACAAGUACGGGCGACCAUACAAUGUUGGCCUUCGCCGAAGCCUGUCACUUGUACGAACUGGCCCUGAAACAGCAUCAUCAGGUUGACCAGAUCGUUU